UGGGGAAUCUUGCGCAAUGCGCGAAAGCGUGACGCAGCAACGCCGCGUGAGGGAAGACGGCCUUCGGGUUGUAAACCUCUUUCAGGAGGGACGAAGGUUCGCCGGCGAAUAGCUCGGCGGAUUGACGGUACCUCCAGAAGAAGCCCCGGCUAACUACGUGCCAGCAGCCGCGGUAAUACGUAGGGGGCAAGCGUUGUCCGGAAUCAUUGGGCGUAAAGCGCGCGUAGGCGGCCCGGUAAGUCCGUUGUGAAAGUCAAAGGCUCAACCUUUGAAUGCCGAUGGAUACUGCCGGGCUCGAGUCCGGAAGAGGCGAGUGGAAUUCCUGGUGUAGCGGUGGAAUGCGCAGAUAUCAGGAGGAACACCAAUAGCGAAGGCAGCUCGCUGGGACGGUACUGACGCUGAGGCGCGAAAGCGUGGGGAGCGAACAGGAUUAGAUACCCCCGUAGUCC
rnacentral:rRNA from 1 species